AAUGUAUUCUGCCUAUCAGGAAAACUGUCUGAAAGCUGAAGUUUGCUAGCAAUGCUCAUGGUUACAGUACAUACUCACAAGUGUCAGGGACACAAGCUGACCUCUGCUGAGGACCAUAUGCUCAGCAUAAUUUUGCUGAUCUCAGUCUCAGGAGCCAGACAAACCUGUGGAAUCAGUGGUACUCAGAAGCUGCCAAGUGAAAUAGAAAGAAUGUUCCCAUCAGACUUUUAAAUUCAGUUAUGUUCCACUUAAAAAGGAAGCUUGGGCAACUUCCUUUGUUUUACUAGCAUUUACUAUUUAGAUUACAAUACAACUGGGAUAAUUUUCUGAAUGUAUACAACAACACAGUCAAUGCCUAGGGAAGCUUUUGGCCUAAAUAAGGGAAAAAAAGGAAGGAGUACAACUUAAAAUUGGUCAGUUUUAAUAUGAAUUAUGUUUUCCACAGGUUGUGAAUUAAUUUACAAUUUGUUCUGGAUUACUCUAAAACUUC
rnacentral:lncRNA from 1 species